rnacentral:rRNA from 1 species
AGUGAACGCUGGCGGCAUGCCUAACACAUGCAAGUCGAACGGCAGCACAGUAAGAUCUUGCUCUUACGGGUGGCGAGUGGCGGACGGGUGACGAAUACAUCGGAAUCUACUUUUUCGUGGGGGAUAACGUAGGGAAACUUACGCUAAUACCGCAUACGACCUACCGGUGAAAGCAGUGGAUCUUCGCGCCUUGCCCGAUUGAAUGAGCCGAUGUCGGAUUAGCUAGUUGGGUGGGUAAAGGCCCACCAAGGCGACGAUCCGUAGCUGAUCUGAGAGGAUGAUCGGCCACACUGGAACUGAGACACGGUCCAGACUCCUACGGGAGGCAGCAGUGGGGAAUAUUGGACAAUGGGCGCAAGCCUGACACAGCCAGACCGCGUGGGUGAAGAAGGCCUUCGGGUUGUAAAGCCCUUUUGUUGGGAAAGAAAAGCAGUAGGUUAAUACCCCGCUGUUCUGACGGUACCCAAAGAAUAAGCACCGGCUAACUUCGUG